CUUCACUAUGAAGGAAAACAAAAUUAAUUUAUUUCAUGUACACCUUAUACACAUAGCCUGGAGGUAAUUUUAUAUACAUUUUUAAAAAAUCAUUUGGCGCAUGAAGCAAGGUUUGGGUACAUUGAACCACCAAAAUAGAAAGGUGUCACUACCUCAGCUCUCCAUGUGGAAAACUUUGGAGUAUUUUGGAUUUCAGAAAUCUAGAUAAGGGAUGCUCAGCCUUUACUCAACAGGUGAUUGUGCAAGAAAAUAUGGUAUAGAUAAUCUGGGUUUUCAAAAGGUAUUUGUCCUUUUCAACGUUCACUUUUUUUUAUUUAUCAUGAUGGCAUGCAGCCACCCCAAAGCCCCCCAAUUUCCUCCCAAACAUUAAGUAAAAGGUAACUGACUACCAUAACUUCCCUCCUCACAUCCUCCUGGUGUGAAGAAAUGAUGUCUGAGGAAAUGGGAGGGGUGAGGAGGAAAAUCCCUCCUUGCUCCCCUGCCCCCCGGUCUCCUCGUGCAUUAUUUCCUUGCAUCAGGACAACUCGAGGAGGUAAGUUAUGGUGGCCAGGUACCUUUUACUUAACUUUUGGGGGAAAUUGGGGGCUUGGCAGGAGGGGUGGAUGCUAUCCCACAUCUUUGGGUUCCAGAGUCCAAAAGGUAUGUGAUGGCAAUAGAGACUCAUCCCUGGGUAGUCCCGAGAUUACCUUGAAGUGAGUCUCCACAGAUCUAAUACCCCAUUAGACCCAAGCCUUUCAGAAAGGCCCAGAUCUAAUGGACUAUUGAAUUAAUACAGAACAAACCAGGGAAAUCUUGGUUUGUUCCAAAUUAAUUUGUUUUUACCAGAGGCGGUGUUGGGAUGGCUUUGGUGAAAACCGAGACAUGUCCCAGUUUUUGAGCCUCUGGAUGGACCCUUGGAGUCAGCAUGAAAGACCUUCCCCAGUGAAGAGGAAGCAUUAAAGAAGCAACAGGCAUAACAGAUAUGGAAGAAUGGGAUUGGUUGACUUCUGCUACAUGACUAAGUCGCUGCGACAUAACAGCUGUCCUUCCUUCAACACAAACUCAUCGCCACGUUGGAGCCGCCUUUCACACUCGCAGCAAGAGAAGCAGUGGACGUGGUAGACGUUCUCCAGCACUCUCAUGAUGAACUCAGAUGGAGCUACAGCCUUGAGACAACCACUGCAUUUGGUUUGGAAGAGCCUGGGAAAAGAAAAAGGGGUGGAGGGUGGGGUUCAUGUCAGAUCACUCAGUUUUGCAUUAAUUUUAUACAGAUGUGACAACUUAUGGUGAGCACAUGAAUGUCACAGUUUUUAAAGCAAGGGAUAUGCAGAGGUGGUUUUGCCAGUUCCCUCCUAUGAAAUAAAGCUUACAGUAGCUGGUAUUUGUUGGUAGCCUUCCACUCAAGAACUAACCAGGAGUGACCCUGCUUAUCUUUCAUAAUCAGACAGGAUCUAAUGUAUUAUCUAUUCACAAAUCCUGAUGAAAUGUGGAGCGUAUUUGUACAUAAAAUAUUGCUUUUGUUUCAUUGCAUGAAAUGUUCCUGAGAUUUCAGUACAGUAGAGUCUCACUUAUCCAACCUUCGCUUAUCUAGCGUUCUGGAUUAUCCAAUGCAAUCUGCCUCCCGCCCGGAUCCACAGCUGUUUCUCUAGGUAUCAAGUACUGAACUUUUAAUGGAUUUAACUUCUGACAAUGUUGUUAUGUAAGUUCAUUUUAUGUAAUUCUAUCUUUAUUUGUAGCCAAUCUUUUAGUAGUCAAUGCUUUCAAUACGUUGUGAUGGUUUGGUGCUAAAUUUGUAAAUACAGUAAUUACUACAUAACAUUAUCAUGUACUGAACUGCUUUUUCUGUCAAUUUGUUGUAAAACAUGAUGUUUUGGUGCUUAAUAUGUAAAAUCAUAACGUAAUUUGACGAUUAAUAGGCUUUUCUUUAAUCCCUACUUAUUAUCCAACAUUUUCACUUAUCCAAUGUUCUGCUGGCCCGUUUAUGUUGGAUAAGCAAGACUCUACUGUACUUGGAAAGGUAUUGCAGUUGUGUGUACGUGUUAUAAGUGAUGGGAAUAUAAUUUACCUCUUCUUAAAACAGAAAAGAAAAUGGGGAUCUAAGGGGUGUAUAUGAAAGAACAUGUUCUUCAAAAGGGCAGGAAAUUAGUACAAGAAUGCAAAAACUCUAGUUAGACUAGGACCUAAAUUCUCUUUUAGCCCUGAGUAAAUCUAUGCAUCCCCUGAGAUUUAUUUAUGUGUUGUCUCACUAUUGAACAAUUGAUUGAAUGGAUCUACUCUACUUACAGCUCACCAACAGGACACCAGGUCUAUGUAUCCUAACAAAGACACAUGACUGCCACUGAGAUAAUUCCCCUCACAGUUAUAACAGCAUACUUGAUGUUAUUCUUUUUACCUUACAAUGGUCCCCUCUUUCUAUUUUAAACUUUUUCCAUCUUCAUUUUACUACUUCUUUUCUUCUACUAUUUUUCUCUUCCUAUGUCCUCCUCCUUGUCUUGGCCAUUACUUUGGCUUUGAAGAUUACAUUUUAUUAUCUUAUAUUACAUAUGCUUAUCUUUUCCCCUGCUGCUCAUUAUUUGAUUGUUUUGCCAUCUAGUAGUCACCAAAUUCCUUCUGAGGGCAAAUGUCAGAGAGAACACUGUCUUGCCACUUGCUUUCUCUGUGUGUGAGAGGAUAGGAGUCACAGUAAAACUUGCAAUAAAAUAAAAUAUGCACAAAAACAAAGAUUACGAUGUCUAUGUACCAGUGCACAGAGUUAUGGAAACAAACAAGAUGAGCUUGAAGUCCUUGUGCAGGAUGGUAAAUAUGACUGCAUAAGUAUGGCAGAAACUUGGUGGGAUAGUUCCUAUGAUUGGAAUAUAACAGCUGGGGGACAUAAUUUGUUCAAAAAGGAUAGACAAGAAAGAAAAGAAGCAGAAUUAUAUGUCAAAAACAAAUUUACUUGUACAGAAAUCCCCAUGAGGGAUCAGACUGGGCUGGUUGAGAAAGUGUGGACCACGAUAACGGAAAUAAACAACAAUGUGGUAGAGAUUUACAACAGGCCACCAAACCAAGUUGAAGUGAUGGAUGAUGCUUUUCAGAAACACAUAUCAGAAAUCUCAAAGAUGCAAGAACUGGCUUUUAUGCGGGAUUUCAAUCAUAGUAAUGUCUGCUAGGAGACUAAGGAUGAACAUACAAUGAAAGUGGUGCCAAACUGCAGUAAGUUGACAGUGUAGAUACCUCCUCAGAGGAAGGCAAAGCUCUUUUGAGUGAAUCUUGUCAAAAUAACCUUCUGAUAAGUUCAUCUUAGGAUCACCAUAAGUUGGAAAUGUUUUGAAGGCACACAGAAGUAAUUGGUUUGAACCCAGGCAUUCUCAAUCUAAAACUCAUUACUACAUACUAAAUUUGAACUUAUUAAUUCAACAGGUACCUUAGUAGAAGCAAUACAAUGAAAGAUUUUUUUGUGCAUGACAUGUUUAAGUAAUGGUUGUGUUUUUUGUUUUGUUUAAAAAACAACAACCCUAAAACUUCCAAACAUUGAGAAAUGGGGAAAGAUGGAAAAAGCAUAAAAUUAGUAAAGAAACUUUGCUGGGGAAGAAUGAUCAAAGCUUUCUACAAAGGGAAUUUAAUUUGGUUAUAGCUUUAAUUUGGUUUUAUAUGCUGUAAUGUUUAUCUUAUUUGUUGCUUUUUAAUCUUGGUUUUAUAUUCUGCUGUCUCUCCCAAUCGGUUUAUUGCUAUAUUUUAUAUUUUUAAUAUACCGUACACCAUCCAAAGUACUUGCUUAGUGAGAAUUUUAGAAUGCAAUAAAUAAAUGUGUUUCUUCACUA